rnacentral:lncRNA from 1 species
UCUAGACUCCCUAACCUCCUCAAUAUGGUCAUCAGAGAGAGAGAGACACGGGGCAUGGGAGUAAUGGGACCUGAAGGGAAAUGGAGUCCCCAAAGAAAAGGAAAUCAACAGCAAAGAGAAAUGCCAUUUGGAUCCUAGCCGUCAGGAUUAGGUUACUGGAGAGAAUAAACUUGGCUCAAUAUUAAGCAGAUAUGUAAGUUAAAUGGUGAAGACCAAUUAUAACAUUGAUUGGUCUUGAGAUGUAAAAUUAUUAUAAACUUUGAAGGACUCAUCCAACAUUGAUUGCUCUUGAAAACUCUCUAACCAAAAAUGUGGUAUGUACAACCAUUCACGGCUUGCCCAGAAAAUAGCACCACAGUCAACAAAGGUACUGAAGCGAGAUUACAGCAUAGGCAUCCUUUUCU